UAUAUCUGGAAAUAUGUUAGUGUACAGAUGCUUGCUGUUUAAUUUUAAGUUUGCCGACAGGAGGAACGAUGUACUCAUUCAUGUUUUCUGGACAUAUUUCUGACACUGAAGGUGUAUUUUUUUACAUUAAAAAAAAUGUAUACACAGCGCUGUGGUUGUGAUUGACAUGAAUGUUACAAUACAUGCAUGAUAAAAUAUUACAAACAUUUACCAGUUGAAUAACAGGUGAUAAUAAUAAACAUAUCUCAUUCAAAUUACGUGACCCGGUCAGGUGACGUCACAGCAAGGGGCGACGUCACAGCAAGGGGCGACGUCACAGCAAGGGGCGACGUCACAGCAAGGGGCGACGUCACAGCAAGGGGCGUGGUCAAAUGGAAGGUUCGGAGUUCCUCCUAGAACACGGAUGUUCCGUUCAGAGAGUCUCACUCACUCAACCGCCUCACCAGUGAACACGGAGUUUUCUCUGGACGAAAAGCAACUCAACAAGCACCCAGUGAACAAUAGGACCACAAAGAAGCUGGCCGGCCACUGCAGGGGACAGCUCUCUGGGUGACCUCCAUCGGCAAUGAGGUCGGCCAGAUACUGAAGAGUGUCCUGACGGUGCAGGAGCGGCCGGGACUGGACCUGAUGGUCUCCGGAGUGUCUGUGUUGGAUGCGUACCCUAGAACUCGCAGGAAUACAGGACUGGUACCUCUGGAGUAUCCUUAAGAGGCAGUGGCCCCCUAGGGCCAUCAGUAUGUACGAUUCCCGUCAACAUACUGUAGCCUUGUGUCCGGGUUGAGCUGGCGGGACUCGAGUGGAGUUGGCCGAACUUCACGUUGAUCCACAUCUCCGGUGGAUGACGAAUCUCAAAAAACGUGCACGGGUUCUUAUUUUCUCCUCCUGCCCCUUUAACCCUCGUGUUGCCUUUACUCAGAAAUCAUACACCCUGCGGUCAAACUGGAGCCUUGCGCACACACAACCACACGUUUUAGUCCCGAGGACAACGGCAGAGGCGAUAGAGGGGACCCUAAGCAUCGGCACACGUCGAGCAGUAUGCCAGCGCGCAGCCCUUGCAGAUGUACUUGUUGCACCCGUUGCACACGGUGUAUGUUUUAGAGUCCUUCUUCGAGGGGCAGAUCUGACACCUCUUUCGCUUACUGCCCCCCCCCCCCCCCCGCGCGGCACGGCGGCGGCGGCGGCUGCCUCGGAGGAGAAGGAGGAGGAGGAGGAGGAGGAGGCCACCCGGGCAGCUUUGGCGACAAAGGCGGCGGACGCCUCCGUGCGCGGCAGACGCUCCCGUCUCUCCAUGAACGGAGCGGCGAGCGCCUUUCCCAGCAGCUCGAGAAACACCCUCCUCUUGUUGCGUUUGCCGGGCAUCCAGUCGGGGUGGACCUCUCGCAUCGCUCUGACCCAAAGAACGUAGGCGCGUGGGAUUCAACUCGGGUCUUUUUGACCCAGAGUACGGAUACGAGUCGGGUCUUUCUGACCCCGCAGAGCACGGACACACGCCGGCUGGAGCGCGAGAGACGCCGGGGUCACUCUGACCCAGACCUGGGUCACUCUGACCCAGACCUGGGUCUUUUUGACCCAGAGGACAGGGGUAGAGGCUUGUAAUUCACAUAUGUACGUGUAUAUACAGUUACGAGGGUCAGAUUGACCCGAGGACAACGGGAGGGUUAAAAGAAUAUGUGAAAUUGUCUGAUUGUUCGUAUAGUUGGUUGUUAUGUAAUUGUUAUUUAUUCGUUGUUGUUUUUGACUGGUGUAACUUGUAAAAACUUAAAAUAAAAUGAUUGAAAGAAAGAA